UACGUAGGGUGCGAGCGUUAAUCGGAAUUACUGGGCGUAAAGCGUGCGCAGGCGGUGACGUAAGGCAGAUGUGAAAUCCCCGGGCUCAACCUGGGAACUGCAUUUGUGACUGCAUCGCUGGAGUGCGGCAGAGGGGGGAUGGAAUUCCGCGUGUAGCAGUGAAAUGCGUAGAUAUGCGGAGGAACACCGAUGGCGAAGGCAAUCCCCUGGGCCUGCACUGACGCUCAUGCACGAAAGCGUGGGGAGCAAACAGG
rnacentral:rRNA from 1 species